AUGGAAUGAUUAUCAGCGCAAAGUGAUGACAAAUAAAAAUCGAGUAACGAUCGAUUUUUAGACGUGCACUAUAGGUGCCUCAGUACCGUGGAUACUUAAAGUUUAUGACCUUUUU
rnacentral:snoRNA from 1 species